CAGGAAAGCUAUACGACAAACUCUCAGAAAUAUGGUUAACCAUACCUAAGCAAGAUGUGGAAGAUGAUAAUACCAGUAGACAAGACAAAAGAAAACUCAGAAGAAGUUAUCUUUGAAUCUCAAUUUAAAUGAUUGUCUCUGUCAUGGGAAUAGAGUUCUCGGAAAGCUGACAUCAGAGGAAUACAAGGAACAGCUUUGUCAAAUGAUGUCUGAAUAUUGCAUCUGGACUUUGACUAAUAUUUGGCCUGCUCAGUGACAUUCAGAACUGACAUUUCAUACAAGGCCAAGCUCCAGGAGUCCAGUGAAAAGGAGGAAAGAAGGAUUCCAUGAGCAAGGGGCAUCAAGAUCAUGAUAGGGAAACCAACGGAGAAAACCGAACCAAAAGGGAACUCAUCAACUUUAGAUCAACAGCUUUGGAGCCUCCAUGGGACCGGACUAGGUCCUCUGAAUAAGCAAGACAUGUGUGUGGCUUGGUCUGCUUAUGGGCCCUCCUGGCAGUAGGAUCAGGAUCUGUUCCUGGUGCAUGAGCUGGCUUUUUGGAGCCUAUUACCUUUAGUGGGACAACUUGCACAUCCUUGAUGCAGGGAGAGGGACUUGGACCAGCCUCAAAUGAAUG